GCCGGCGACCGGCGCACGGGUGAGUAACGCGUAUGCAACUUGCCUAUCAGAGGGGGAUAACCCGGCGAAAGUCGGACUAAUACCGCAUGAAGCAGGGAUCCCGCAUGGGAAUAUUUGCUAAAGAUUCAUCGCUGAUAGAUAGGCAUGCGUUCCAUUAGGCAGUUGGCGGGGUAACGGCCCACCAAACCGACGAUGGAUAGGGGUUCUGAGAGGAAGGUCCCCCACAUUGGUACUGAGACACGGACCAAACUCCUACGGGAGGCAGCAGUGAGGAAUAUUGGUCAAUGGCCGAGAGGCUGAACCAGCCAAGUCGCGUGAGGGAUGAAGGUUCUAUGGAUCGUAAACCUCUUUUAUAAGGGAAUAAAGUGCGGGACGUGUCCCGUUUUGUAUGUACCUUAUGAAUAAGGAUCGGCUAACUCCGUGCCAGCAGCCGCGGUAAUACGGAGGAUCCGAGCGUUAUCCGGAUUUAUUGGGUUUAAAGGGUGCGUAGGCGGCCCCUUAAGUCAGCGGUGAAAGUCUGUGGCUCAACCAUAGAAUUGCCGUUGAAACUGGGAGGCUUGAGUAUGUUUGAGGCAGGUGGAAUGCGUGGUGUAGCGGUGAAAUGCAUAGAUAUCACGCAGAACCCCGAUUGCGAAG
rnacentral:rRNA from 1 species